rnacentral:lncRNA from 1 species
GCCGCGGCCCCCUGCUCCACUACUCCCUGCAACGGCCGUAUCCGGCGCUGCCCCACGAUCCCCUGUAACAGCCGUACAAAGCGGAGCUCCACUAUGCCCUGCCAGGGCCGUACCCAGCGCUGCCCCACGACGCCCUGUAACGGCCAUGUCAGUGGCAGCCCCAUCGUGCCACACGAUGACGAAUCCCCGGAAAAACCCCCCAGCCUGAUAUAUAU